rnacentral:lncRNA from 1 species
CUUUUUUCGAAAUGUGCAUUUUAUGAAGUUAUAGGUAAAUCUUUUCUGGCCUGACCAUUUCUUUCAGGAGCUACAGAAAGCCUUAUGUACACUCUGUGUUUCUUCUUGGAACCCGCUGUAAUCGGUUUUUUGAAUGCUGUGAGCUGUGUACUGUUACCCACACGGGCCCCGUUGCAUUUCUUUGAAAACACUGCUACAUGUGUAGGAUCAUCUCUCCACCCCAUUGCCCUCUGCCCCCGUUCAGCUCACAGGGUUCAUCCCUUCAACCCUCUCCCUCCCAGUGGCAUCAGAUGCCUUUGGAUAUCUUUAAACCAGAUGUUUUCCUCUGAACUAAUUUUACAAGUGACUCUGUCUUGAUUCCUUGCCCCACUUUUUAGGCAGGCACCAAGGAGACAGUGUCAUCCUUCCUUGGGGAGCUCUUGGAGGCCGGGUUGGAGCUUUCUGAAGUCUAUGCUUUGUUCAAAUGCUUUAAGUAAUUUGAAAAAACCAUGUGAUUCAUACAGUCUGAACUCUGUAGUUGACCCAUUUGAUCUUGCUAGGGAAAAAAAAAGGAGAGAGAAAGAAUGGAAAAUGAAAAAGGAAGGAAGGAAAGAAGGAGGAAGGGAGGGAGAGAUCCUUAUUUUGAUGUGCAGAGUUUGUAAAUUGACCCUUCUCUGGGCUAUGUGACAGUUUCCAAGUCAACAAAGGACAAGAUAAUACUAAGACACAGGUAUUCCGUGAAUUGACUCUGAAAAUAGGAAGGAGUGCUUCCCUUUCAGAUUUGGCUUUCAAAGUCCAGUGUGCGUCCCAGGAUCAGGCUAGAGAUGUCGAGGUUUGGCAGGGGAAUGAGUGGCUGGUCUGAAGGCGUAUUAAGCAUCCUACAAAGGAGUAAAGCAAACACAGAGUCCUCUCAUCUCAGCCAUUUAUCUACUGCAGCCACAUCUGUAGUGGCUGUCUGUGUGACUCCACAUUUAUGGGUCAAUGUCAAGCCCCAGCCGACACUCCCUGCAAAGAAAUGACUUCAUUUUCUUUAUUUUUAAUUGACAGUGAGUACCUGAGGCAAAACAGAACCACUGGUCUCUCACCUUCUGGUACUGAUUUUUCUCUAUUAAGCUAAAGCCAUUUAGAAGCUCGGUCCUCACCAAAACCACACUCAAAAAGUCCCCCUGGUAGUUGGAAAUUACAGGUGUGACUUCUGGGUGAAGCCUAGGCCUUGAGCCUCUGUGGUCAGAAACUGGUCAGUAGCUGGGAUUUGAGACUUCAGGCCUGUAACUUGUAUGUGAAAGUAACCAGCCACCACCCCUUAAAAUGCCUAUCAGAAGUCUCGGCAGUCCUGGGCCCAGUUCCUUCCUGCUUCACCUUGAUUACUGUUGUCUGAUCAUUGUUCAGUGACAUGCUGUCGUUGCAGUAGGGUUGACUGCAGCUCAGGCUCCCUGAUCAAAGAUGGGGUCACCUUAUGUCUGGGAGACUUCUCUGGAUGCUCACACACCUCUGUAACCCCACCUGCUCUCACACAGCAGCCUACAGUGAGCUUCCUAAGCACAUGGCUGGACAGAGGUGGGAACCAUAGGGGCACUGGGGCAAAAAGGUGUAGUCAGAGUAUCCUGUCUGCCCUGAGUCUUUUGUAACAAGCACACUUAUUCGGUUGGCUUCAGUAAUAAAACCUAACUUGUCCGUUCCCUAUAGAAACACCAGCAAGAUCACGUUGAAAUAUAUACACUUGUGUGUUUUCCCUGUGGGAGCCCGUUUAGUAGAGGCUCCCACAUGCAUUUAUCAUGGACAUUCAGCUAGAGCCAUGUGUGACUUGAAAUGCACAGUAGAGAUGGCCCCAGAUGCAGCUGGUCUCUCUCUCCUAAGAAGGUCGAGGGGCUCUGUGAUCCACCGUAGCCUCAUUUCCAUCACUCAGAGUGGUUCAUCAGAACUGAAAAUGGAGUUUCCUGAGACAGACUGUUUUCCUGACUUGAAGAAGGCAGGCCUUGUGGAGAAGGCUCUUAGUGAUAGGCUAUGGGGCUAUUCAGUAUGGCUCUACUGAGGGCUGCUGGUGUGAGAGUUAUCCAAGGCUGCUGGGCUGCUGACUUUGCUACAGUCUUACUGGCUGUCUUAUCUCUGCCAAACUCAGCCCUGCGCCUUGUGGCCCAAGUGGCGAGGCUUCACAUUCUCACCCAGGGUGAUGCUUGCAGAGGACUGGGUGACAGCUCCUUGUAGGGACAGGGAUUUGGAUUUCAUGAGUUACAGCCGUCCUCACUACACAGAAGUAGCUCAGACUAUGGAACCAACACUCCCUCACCCCGUCCCCCUUUUGUACCUAUCUUGAGGAGAACAAAUUCUCUCUACAGUGUAUUUAUUCUGUAAAGCAGAUGUGAGACUCUGGCCGGUUCCCCACUGAACGCAGUGCAUGUGGGAGGAAGGAUAGUCAGGCUUGAAAAACUGGCUUCAAGGUGAGACUAUCUUUUCCACUGGAGUUAGAAAGGGGAAAGGUUAUUUUAUGAAUUAGACGAGAAAGAAGAGUUCCCCUUGGUAGGCUUUAAAAAAUUAAAGGGAUUGAAAAAAAAAAAAAACCAGGGAGGACUUAUUUUGUAUACUUCCCAGAUUUCCACAGAUUAAUAAAUGUACCUGUGAAUAUAUAUAUGUAAAUCACAAUGAAGUUGUCAAGGGAAACCAUUUUUGCAUGUAUGCCAUUUUAUGAAGGUUUCCUUAAAGAAAAUAAAUACCAAAGCUUGUUUCUCCCUCACAAUGAACCCAAAUCCUUAUAAAGUUAAAUGAGGUGAAGAAAUUUGGCUAUUGCCAAAAACUUAACCAGGAGGGAAGGGCUUGUGUUCAAACACUUACUAAUGCCCUCUGACUAGGGGAACCCAUCCUUUUUGGUAGUUAAAACCCCGUGGUCUCCAGCCUUCCUGACUUGGAUAAUCCUGUCUUCCAAGAUCCCAGGGCCCUUCAGUUAGGUGUAGCUGUGUGCCACAUGCCUGACUUUUCUUUCAUACUUUGCUUACUUUGCCUUGGGUGUAUUUUAAUCUUGUAUAAAAAAAACAUGCAUGUGUCAGUCAUGCGCACGUGCACACGUAUACGUUCUGUAUUUGACAAAUGGUGGUAAGACCAAACGAACAAAAAAUAAGAAAAUUGCAUUUGUGGUUUUGCAACGUGAGUACACUUUGUACCACUAACACUGUGAUGUAUAAGAGCUGUCUGAAUGCCUUUUCAUGUUGUGAUUUGUACUUUAGAAUCCUAUGGAAACAUUUGAUUUAUAAUUCCAAUACAUAUUUUAAAUGUAUUGUGUCUUAUGUAGUCUGUCUCCCCUUUCAAAGGGAUAUCUUUUUAAAGGUAUUUUGGCUGGAAUACAGGUGAUAAUUUUGUAAA